UUGGCCUCUGUACGGAAACGAGGGCUGCGGCUGGGCAGGUUGGCUCCUGUCCCCCCGCGGGUCUCGUCCUACUUGGGGCCC
rfam:Hepatitis C virus clone MD2b6-1 polyprotein mRNA, complete cds